GACGUAGGGCGCGAGCGUUGUCCGGAUUUAUUGGGCGUAAAGAGCUCGUAGGCGGCUUGUCGCGUCGUCCGUGAAAACCCACAGCUCAACUGUGGGCUUGCGGUCGAUACGGGCAGGCUAGAGGCUGGUAGGGGCAAGCGGAGUUCCUGGUGUAGCGGUGAAAUGCGCAGAUAUCAGGAGGAACACCGGUGGCGAAGGCGGGUCUCUGGGCCGAUACUGACGCUGAGGAGCGAAAGCGUGGGGAGCGAACAGG
rnacentral:rRNA from 1 species